GAUGGGGUAGUUGGCAUGUUGGGUACAAUAGAAGCCAUCAACGUUCUAAAGCGGAACAAGUUUUUGGAUACAAAUCUGGAGAAAGUUUGUGGAGCUUCCCACACAUUCAUUUGGCAACCAAGAUACACGUGAUGCUUUGUCUGCAGCAAUCCACCA